AACGAACGCUGGCGGCAUGCCUAACACAUGCAAGUCGAACGAGAUCUUCGGGUCUAGUGGCGCACGGGUGCGUAACGCGUGGGAAUCUGCCCUUUGGUUCGGAAUAACAGUUGGAACGACUGCUAAUACCGGAUGAUGACGAAAGUCCAAAGAUUUAUCGCCAGAGGAUGAGCCCGCAUAGGAUUAGCUAGUUGGUGUGGUAAAGGCGCACCAAGGCGACGAUCCUUAGCUGGUCUGAGAGGAUGAUCAGCCACACUGGGACUGAGACACGGCCCAGACUCCUACGGGAGGCAGCAGUGGGGAAUAUUGGACAAUGGGCGAAAGCCUGAUCCAGCAAUGCCGCGUGAGUGAUGAAGGCCUUAGGGUUGUAAAGCUCUUUUACCCGGGAUGAUAAUGACAGUACCGGGAGAAUAAGCUCCGACUAACUCCGUGCCAGCCGCCGCGGUAA
rnacentral:rRNA from 1 species